rnacentral:rRNA from 1 species
CUCAGGACGAACGCUGGCGGCGUGCCUAAUACAUGCAAGUCGAACGCUUCUUUCCUCCCGAGUGCUUGCACUCAAUUGGAAAGAGGAGUGGCGGACGGGUGAGUAACACGUGGGUAACCUACCCAUCAGAGGGGGAUAACACUUGGAAACAGGUGCUAAUACCGCAUAACAGUUUAUGCCGCAUGGCAUAAGAGUGAAAGGCGCUUUCGGGUGUCGCUGAUGGAUGGACCCGCGGUGCAUUAGCUAGUUGGUGAGGUAACGGCUCACCAAGGCCACGAUGCAUAGCCGAC